GUGUACGGCCAUACUACUCCGAAUGCACCCAAUCUUGUCUGAUCUUGGAAGCUAAGCUGGGUUGGGCCUGGUUAAUACCUGGGUGUGGCAGAAGAGUCCCAGAAGGAAUGUAGCCUCGCCGCCCCCA
rnacentral:rRNA from 1 species